rnacentral:rRNA from 1 species
CAAUAGCGUAUAUUAAAGUUGUUGCAGUUAAAAAGCUCGUAGUUGGAUUUUGGGACAGGAUGAGCGGUCUGCCGAAAGGUUUGUACUGAGCGUUCUGUUCUUCCUUCCGUAGACUGCGUCUGUUCUUAACUGAAUGGGCGUUUGGAUGCGGAUCGUUUACUUUGAACAAAUUAGAGUGUUUAAAGCAGGCCUUUGCUUGAAUACAUUAGCAUGGAAUAAUGGAAUAGGACUUUGGUUCUAUUUUGUUGGUUUCUAGGACCUAAGUAAUGAUUAAUAGGGAUAGUUGGGGGCGAUUAAUAUUUAAUUGUCAGAGGUGAAAUUCUUGGAUUUAUGAAAGAUUAACUUCUGCGAAAGCAUUUGCCAAGGAUGUUUUCAUUAAUCAAGAACGAAAGUUAAGGGAUCGAAGACGAUUAGAUACCAU